rnacentral:rRNA from 1 species
UACGUAGGGUGCGAGCGUUGUCCGGAAUUAUUGGGCGUAACGAGCUCGUAGGCGGUGUGUCGCGUCGGCCGUGAAAACCUGCAGCUUAACUGUGGGCUUGCGGUCGAUACGGGCAUCACUGGAGUUCGGCAGGGGAGACUGGAAUUCCUGGUGUAGCGGUGAAAUGCGCAGAUAUCAGGAGGAACACCGGUGGCGAAGGCGGGUCUCUGGGCCGAUACUGACGCUGAGGAGCGAAAGCGUGGGGAGCGAUCCGG